CCCACACGUCACUCAAAUUUCAGACGCUCCAUUUUAGUGUCCUAUUUAUAUAGCGUAAUGUUACUCGUAUGCGUUUUAUAGCUUGUGAUAUUUUACGUAAAAGUUUGGCGAAGUUUGCGAAUGAACUAGAAAGCAACACUGAUAAAGCAAAGAGCACAUGACAACGUUCUUAAGCUUUGUUUCGCCGAAAUUAAAUCUGAAGACGUUUCAUGUAAUUGAGUCGAUUUCUGCCAUCAAUAAUCCGCGAAAUUUCAUCACAAGGUAGAGCAGCAAAAAAUAGCGAACUUAUCGAAUUCCAAAACCUCGAUUCAAAUUUGCCAAUUGUGCCCCUCCAGUUCCGCAAGGAAGUGUCAGAGUAACCACAGCUCAGAACAUGACGAUAACACUCAUGUCAGUGGUGCUCAUAAACAACAAAUCCAAUUAUACAAUCAUGGCCGGAGGAGUUUAUUUAGCGCGAUCAAAGUUUUACAAGUUGCUCCUCAUAGUAUUAAUUCUGUCGCUCGCUAAUAUAAUACAGACCACGAUAACUACGUGCAUGCCAACGAGUCGGAAAAUAUCGGCGUUAGUUAUGGAAUGCCGCUACGAAAAUCAUGCAAAUUCUGAGACAAUUGUUAUUAUAGUUGGUAAAGUUUCGCAAGUAAACAAAGUUUCUUCGAGAGGGGCUUGGCGCCCGAAAAAUUCCUGCCAAAUUUCCUGGUUCAGCGUCCUAAGUUUGGAAGGCCAAAAUGGCCAGACAGACACGGAGAAUCUUCACUUCAGACGGUCAUUGCAAGCAAAUGUGAAUAGAAUUAAGGAGCUUAUCAGACAUAAUCGCCACAUGCCCACUCUCGGAAUAGCCGGAAUUAGCGAAGGAAGUGCGCGUUGUGGGGAAUUAGAGCUUCACGAGACUUGAGCUUCUUACCUCCGCAAAAAAUAAUGUGAUGUGAAAUAAAUUUUUAUUUUUGUGGCAAAAGAAGUGGUCGCAAAAUCAUAACCAUUCUAAAAUUUUGUUGUGGAGCGCCACUGACGUUGGUUGGAGGAGGAGCGUUCGGAGCUCCACAAGUUCGCCUCAGGAGCGCAAAAUCAGUGCCGGUUAUUACAAAAAGAUUAGUGUAUAAGCAUAGAAAGUUAUCGAAGUUGGAAUACCCGAAAGCUCCAUAAAUUCUAAUAAAUUCCUGUCGGAAUUAUCGCUGAGGCUCUCCGGUGCGAACUGGAACGGUCGAGCUUUAAUGCGUUCGAAUCUCCGCACGAUUAACUCGUCAAAAAAUUGUAUCGCGGUCUGAGAACCGUCGAAUUCGUGUGAUGGGCGUCAGAUGGGGGUGUCUCCGGCUCCACAGAGCUGGAAAAUAGGUUAUUACUUGUCCGCGUCAGGCUCUCUACUCCAGUAUCAUCGAUCUCACGCUCACUGCAUUUCCUGCUGCUUUUGUCGUCGAGUUGCAUCCACAAUGCUCUUUGGUGGCCCCUCGAGUCGGCCCCUGCAACCACUCGACGUAAUCGUUCACGUAGCUCGCGAAACUCUUUUUCAUCGAUUGUUUGCUCCGAGCAUUAGUGCCGGUUCGAAGCACUUGGCUUAAUUUUGAAUAAACUUUCAAAUCGACAAGAACUAAUGCGAGGCGUCUAGCCGACGUCACUGUAUUAAUACAGUGUUAGCAAAUUGCCAAUAUCUCCCGUUGAUUUCGAAUUCUGCACACGUUGGCAAAGGAAGGUACAAAGAAUAAAAUCAAUAGUUCUAAUUCUCUCAAGAUAUUAAGGUCGUCCUAUCGUAUAAAUUUUGAUUGAGUUUCCCAGCGGUGGCCUAGACAGCUUUCUAGCCAACAAGGCAUUAGCUUUGCAGCCUACUGUAUCGACCAUAGAUGAUAUUAGUUGCCACACUAAAUCUUACGCAGAUUAUCGCCUGACACACGCCCGAAGCACAUCCUUACUCUCCUACGCUCUUCCCGCCGAAGAAAACUCCAAAACCAUAUCCCCAUGGACGUAUUAUUUUAAAACAAACUUUGUUAUAGACAAAUAACGUCAAAUUAAACGCAUGUUGGAUACCAUACAUAUUUCAAAGUGGCUACGUUACGACCGCAAUAAUAUAAAUUUUAUGAACAACAAGAUUUUGCCAUUAUCUCACCUAGUUUUUAAAUUACUAAGGUCACAAUAGUGCCAACAAUUAACAAAGGCAAAGCGCUGGAAGUAAAAUUAAUUUUCUGUCACAUCAUACACAUUUAGCACGCCCACAAAAAAUAGCUGCACGAAUUUAAAUACCUAUUGUUAAUGAAAUGCAUUAAAUAAAUAUUGGACUUUUAUUACAGAAAAUACAAAAUAAUUUUUGUAGUUAUGUCGGUUUAAACUGUGUAUUUACUAAGCUUUUAAGUAUAACGUUGUUAAAAUAAUG